rnacentral:tRNA from 1 species
UCCCUGGUGGUCCAGUGGUUAAGACUCUGCACUCCCAACGUAGGGGGUGCAGGUUUGAUCCCUGGUCAGGGAA